rnacentral:rRNA from 1 species
GAGAGGAUGAUCAGCCACACUGGAACUGAGACACGGUCCAGACUCCUACGGGAGGCAGCAGUGAGGAAUAUUGGACAAUGGGCGAAAGCCUGAUCCAGCCAUACCGCAUGAGUGAUGAAGGCCCUUGGGUUGUAAAGCUCUUUUAGUGGGGAAGAUAAUGACGGUACCCACAGAAGAAGUCCCGGCUAACUCCGUGCCAGCAGCCGCGGUAAUACGGAGGGGGCUAGCGUUGUUCGGAAUUACUGGGCGUAAAGGGUGCGUAGGCGGUCCCGUAAGUUAGGU